rnacentral:rRNA from 1 species
GAUGAACGCUGGCGGCGUGCCUAAUACAUGCAAGUCGAGCGAACAGACGAGGAGCUUGCUCCUUUGACGUUAGCGGCGGACGGGUGAGUAACACGUGGGUAACCUACCUAUAAGACUGGGAUAACUUCGGGAAACCGGAGCUAAUACCGGAUAAUAUUUCGAACCGCAUGGUUCGAUAGUGAAAGAUGGCCUUGCUGUCACUUAUAGAUGGAUCUGCGCCGUAUUAGCUAGUUGGUAAGGUAACGGCUUACCAAGGCAACGAUGCGUAGCCGACCUGAGAGGGUGAUCGGCCACACUGGAACUGAGACACGGUCCAGACUCCUACGGGAGGCAGCAGUAGGGAAUCUUCCGCAAUGGGCGAAAGCCUGACGGAGCAACGCCGCGUGAGUGAUGAAGGUCUUCGGAUCGUAAAACUCUGUUAUUAGGGAAGAACAAACGUGUAAGUAACUGUGCACGUCUUGACGGUACCUAAUCAGAAAGCCACGGCUAACUACGUG